rnacentral:rRNA from 1 species
UACAGAGGUCCCGAGCGUUGUUCGGAUUUACUGGGCGUAAAGGGCGCGUAGGCGGCGCGACAAGUCACUUGUGAAAUCUCUGGGCUUAACUCAGAACGGCCAAGUGAAACUGUUGUGCUAGAGUGCAGAAGGGGCAAUCGGAAUUCUCGGUGUAGCGGUGAAAUGCGUAGAUAUCGAGAGGAACACCAGAGGUGAAGACGGGUUGCUGGGCUGACACUGACGCUGAGGCGCGAAAGCCAGGGGAGCAAACGGG